UAACAAGGAUUCCCCUAGUAACGGCGAGUGAAGAGGGAAGAGCCCAAGAUUGAAAGCUGGCGUCUUCGGCGUCCGCAUUGUAAUCUCAAGAAGUGUUUUCCGCUUCGGACCAAGCCUAAGUCCCUUGGAAAAGGGCAUCAUAGAGGGUGAUAAUCCCGUACAUGGCUUGGAGCGCCCGAAGCUUUGUGAUACGCUUUCUAAGAGUCGAGUUGUUUGGGAAUGCAGCUCAAAAUGGGUGGUAAAUUCCAUCUAAGGCUAAAUAUUGGGGAGAGACCGAUAGCGAACAAGUACAGUGAUGGAAAGAUGAAAAGAACUUUGAAAAGAGAGUUAAACAGUACGUGAAAUUGCCAAAAGGGAAGGGUAGGAGGUCAGAGAUGCGGCCUGGGAUUCAGCCUUGCUUUUGCUUGGUGUUUUUCCCAGAUUGCAGGCCAACGUCGGUUUUGGGCACUGGAGAAGGGUAGGAGGAACGUGGCACCUCUCGGGGUGUGUUAUAGCCUCCUACUGGAUACAGCGACCGAGACCGAGGACAGCAGCGUACUCGCAAGAGCGGGCCUUCGGGCACCUUUACGCUUAGGGCGUUGGCAUAAU
rnacentral:rRNA from 1 species